UAGAUGCGAGAGUAGAGCAUAUCAAUAAGCGGAGGAAAAGAAACUAACAAGGAUUCCCUUAGUAACGGCGAGUGAAGCGGGAAGAGCUCAAAUUUGAAAUCUUCAAGGUUUUACCUUGACGAAUUGUAGUUUAAAGAAGUGUUUUCUGUUGAAGUUUUGGUAAAAGUUCUUUGGAAUAGGACAUCAUAGAGGGUGAGAAUCCCGUAUUUGACCAUUAUUUUCAGCUGUGUGAUACACUUUCAAAGAGUCGGAUUGUUUGGGAAUGCAGUCCAAAAUGGGUGGUAAAUUUCAUCUAAAGCUAAAUAUUGGCGAGAGACCGAUAGCGAACAAGUACCGUGAGGGAAAGAUGAAAAGAACUUUGAAAAGAGAGUUAAACAGUACGUGAAAUUGUCAAAAGGGAAGCGUUUGACACCAGUGUUGUUUUUCCAAAAAUCAAUUACGAAUGGCUUGAUUUUGUGUUGUAUUGACCUUAUCAGCUUUCUGCACUUUUUUCGAGUCUUUCUUAAUGCACUUUUUGGUUAACAAGUCAACAUCAAUUUCUUUUGUUGUAAAAGAGUAUUCGGAAGGUGGCUUUCUUUUCGGAGAAAGUGUUUAUAGCCCUAUACUUCUACAAUCGGAGAGAUUGAGGUCUGCAGCGUAGAUCCUUCGGGGUUAGAUACACUUGUGCUAAGUUGUAGCUUUUCAUAGACAACUUGUUGACUAUGUUUAGUCAUGCGGCUUACUCGCUUGUGCUAUUUUACCUACGCUUAGGAUGUUGACGCAUGAGAUAUACGC
rnacentral:rRNA from 1 species